UUUUUUUUUUUUUUGACUAAUUUCUUCAACUGCAGGCAUCCAAAACUAGAAACUAGAAUUGAUUGAAGGUUUCUUUUUCAGGCAAUAGGUCUUCCACAAAGAGUAUGUAUACUCAAAAAUGUAUAUUUUUGUGUAUGUACAUAUAUAUGUAUGUGUGUAUGUAUAGUUAAAUAAGGGAUCACUACCUAAUAUAUGAGAUUUCCAAAGGACUAAACAUAAGGCCUCUGUGCUUCCCGAGGGAUAAUUUCAGAGGAAAAAAACAUCUUAACCUUACAUUAAGGCAUGUACUUUUUAAAAAAAAUCUGAAUAUUGUAUACUAGAGCAGGUUGGCCAACUUUUUCGGUAAAGGGCCAAGCAGCAAAUGUUUUAUGCUUUGCAGACCACAUAAUAGUCUCUGUCCUAGUCUUUGUUUUUGCUUCUUUUUUUUAUUUUUUAAACGGUCCUUUACAAAGGUAGAAAGCAUUUUUAGAUCCAGACUAUACAAAAACAAGCAGGCUGUGGACCAUAGUUUGUAACCCCAUAUUUUUUUAAAUAUCCAAAGGAAAAUUAUAAGUCAAUAAUGCUUUUUUAUCCUUAGGAUCUGGUGUUGUGUCUCAAAUAUAGAAGAAACUCAGUACAUGUUAGUGUCCUGUUUGGGAUUUGAUUUUACCCUGCUUCAAAGUUAAUAAGCUGUUACUCUUUCAUGGAUACUGCCCUAAGAUAGACUCCUGGAUCAGACAAAGGACUUUAUCUGCCCCCACGUCCCAUAGGAUAAUGUGAUGUUCCUUAGUUGACAGUGUACGUGCUGGGGCUUGCACUGCAGCUUAGAAACACAGAGCUGGGGGAGUCCACUUCUUUUAUAGCAAACAUGAAGCAAGCUCCUCUUUGUCCUGGAGGGAGCCAUUAUCUCAUCCCUCAAGGUGGCUUGCUGCAGACAACCUGAGGAACUGCCCAGGUAAAGAGUGGUUAGGGCCUUGCAUUCUUCGCCCACCCAGCAAGAACGUACAGGACCACUUGGCAUCUGUGGUGUUUGCCCCUUCCAAGAGCUAGCUUGAAUGAGUAAGCAAACUCUGUCUUGCUCUAGCAGUAUUUUAUGACUAACACAAUUUAUUCUUUUUCUCUCUCCAGAAACCAUUAGAACAAAUAAAUAAACAAGUAGGACAAAACAUGUGUUUAAUUCAACUGACUCCUCUUCCGAAUUUAUUUACAGAAAAUUUAACAUCUGUUAACUAUGAUGUAUUUUUUCACAUGUUAAAGCAGUGUUUUAUGAAGCGUAAUUUCAAGCUAAUGGACCAUUUACAGUUAUUGAGUCCGGUUAAUGCAACAGCUAUAUUGAAGCAAAUAGAGAAAAAUGGAGACAUGAAAAUAACAGAUCUGCACCCUCAAGACUUUAAACAGCUUUUUGAAACUAUAGAGUGUUCCAAAGAAUCUUGUAGGUGGCUCUUUGAUGAUUGCAUGGAAGAGAUGAUCAUGUAGGGAACUUGACUGGCCCACAUUAGCUGGAGCCAUUGAUUUAUUUGGAAAUUAUGACACAAAUGAAAGAGAACUAAGUCUGAAAAGCUUCCAGCCUUUCAAUGGAAGAUAACUGUUCUUGUUUUGCAGAUUGGGCACCUUCUUCUGAAGGUGAUCCUUUAGUAAACUGGAUAAAACCAUGGCUGCUGUUUUAUUCACAAAAGGUAAAAUGAAAACGUCAGUUAAUUGUGGAUUUGAUCAGAUUGCAUUUGUUUUGUUUUAAAUUCCUAUCUUCUGUAGACAUACUGGUAGUUGUAGGGUAUUGCCAGAUGAAAUUUAGUUUUAAAAAUCCCUUUGGCCCAGGGUGCCUGGCUGGCUCAGCCAGUAAAGUGUGUGACUUGAUCUCAGGGUUGUGAGUUUAAGCCCCACGUUGGGGGUAGAGCUUACUUAAAAAAAAAUCCCUUUGGCCAAAUAUCUUAUAUUGUAUUAACUUAAAUAUUCCAUUUUCACUGUUGAUUUUUGCUUCCUCCUGGAGGGCAAAAGAGUUUGUACAUUAUUAAGCUUAGAAAGUAAAUUAAAAUGAUUUAAGUGGUUUGUUUUAGUUUUCAGAUUGUUGAAUUAUAUUAUCAAGUACUGUACAAUGAAAUUAUUUCAAUUUUAAUAUGGUUUAAACUUUUUUCAAAAUUAAAAUAUUUUAAGUAACAA